rnacentral:misc_RNA from 1 species
GUUUGUAUAUAGUUUAUUUGCCAGUUUCUUGUGCAUUUGUACCAUACAGAGCGCAAAGUGAACCUUCAUAUCUUACAGGGGAAGAAAAUUACAAACAUAAAAUUGAAUUAUACAGGUAACCCAAUGACAGAUUAGGUCAAAACCACUGUAUAAUACAAAGCAAAACUCUCUCAACUAAAAUCUUGGCAAAAUAUUCAGCAAUAGUUUCAAAGAUGUGUCAUCCUUGAUAGUCUUUCAAAAUGCUAACCACUUUACAUAAUUUUACAUUUGCUUCUCCUCAUUGCCAUUGAUUGUGGGAACUACGCUCUGUUGGUGAGCCAGGAACGAAGGGAACAAAACCCCGGCCGCCAAACAUGGGACGCAUAAAUGCAUUGUCAAACUUACGCCAGUAGUAAUGAACGGU